AGGGAAUCUUCCGCAAUGGACGAAAGUCUGACGGAGCAACGCCGCGUGAGUGAUGAAGGCCUUCGGGUCGUAAAACUCUGUUGUCAGGGAAGAACAAGUACCGGAGUAACUGCCGGUACCUUGACGGUACCUGACCAGAAAGCCACGGCUAACUACGUGCCAGCAGCCGCGGUAAUACGUAGGUGGCAAGCGUUGUCCGGAAUUAUUGGGCGUAAAGCGCGCGCAGGCGGUCCUUGAAGUCUGAUGUGAAAGCCCACGGCUCAACCGUGGAGGGUCAUUGGAAACUGGGGGACUUGAGUGCAGAAGAGGAAAGCGGAAUUCCACGUGUAGCGGUGAAAUGCGUAGAGAUGUGGAGGAACACCAGUGGCGAAGGCGGCUUUCUGGUCUGUAACUGACACUGAGGCUCGAAAGCGUGGGGAGCAAAC
rnacentral:rRNA from 1 species